rnacentral:rRNA from 1 species
GAUGAACGCUGGCGGCGUGCUUAACACAUGCAAGUCGAACGAGAAAUGUAGACGGACACCUUCGGGCGGAAGCCUUCAUUUCGAGUGGCGGACGGGUGAGUAACGCGUGGGUAACCUGCCUCAUACAGGGGGAUAACAGUUGGAAACGACUGUUAAUACCGCAUAAGACCACAGCAUCGCAUGAUGCGGGGGUAAAAACUCGGUGGUAUGAGAUGGACCCGCGUUCGAUUAGCCAGUUGGCGGGGUAACGGCCCACCAAAGCGACGAUCGAUAGCCGAUCUGAGAGGAUGACCGGCCACAUUGGGACUGAGACACGGCCCAAACUCCUACGGGAGGCAGCAGUGGGGAAUAUUGCACAAUGGGGGAAACCCUGAUGCAGCGACGCCGCGUGAGUGAAGAAGUACUUCGGUAUGUAAAGCUCUAUCAGCAGGGAAGAAAAUGACGGUACCUGAGUAAGAAGCCCCGGCUAACUACGUG